rnacentral:lncRNA from 1 species
AAAAGAUUAAGGUACCACUUUAGUUAACAAAUAAUUACAAGAAAUGAUAAUAAGCAUGAAAUUGAAUCAAUCAAAGCAUUCAAAUAAACAUAAACAACCUAUAUUCAACAAAUCAAAACAAACAAGGAUCCAAUUGCAAAAAUUAAAGUAGUUUGAUGGGUCAAAUCAUUAUUAUUACAAAUAUUAGGGGUCUAAAUUAAAAUAAAGUUAGGGUUUAGGAUGAGGCCUACCAAAAUCAAAUGCUAAACUUCACAAAAUGAAUGAAAACCCAUUUGCUAUAAUUAAACCACAAAAUACCCAAAAUUUUGCUAAAAUCCAAAUUAAACUAUAAAUCUAUCAAAAAUUAUUAAGCCUUCAAAUUCUCUCCUAAAACUUAUGAACAAUCUGUCCUAAAAUCACAUUAAGACAUACCAAAGAAAAAUAACACGUUAAAGGGGCAAAAGUGAUUAAUUCUUCCCAUUUUGUGUGCCAUAGUAGAAUAAGGGGAAACUUGAGAGGUUAAACUGCAAUUUCUGAAAGUUAUUUCAUGCAUCUUACGAAGACGCUUUCGUUCUUACUGGUUUCUGCAAUUUUUAUGGUUUUCGCAGCUAUUUUCUCUUCGCUAAACAUGACAAACAUCAAGGACUUUGAUCUAAACAGCAAACAUCAUAGAGAUUCAAUCAUUUCAACAUACAAAAGUUUCAAUCACCGAAAUGUAAUCUUCUGGGUUUCAUUGCAGCCAACGCAUGAACUAAUUAUCACACCAAACAAGAUCAUGUACUUCAUGUGUUUUGUUUUCAUACUCUAGCACAUCAAAGAUUCAUCAACCAAACAAAGAAUAUUCAGCAAGAAAAAUGUCUCAAAACUAUAUAACAGAGGGACGACGCAAUCUUAUCAAGCUGAAAACAGAUCUUCCAGAGUUUCAUUGCCAUUAGAUCUGAAUUUCCAUGAAAGUUGUGUAAAAAACUGAUCGGAGGAAAGGCAAGAGUUACCUGAGAACGCUGGCACUGUUAAACGCACGUGAGAUGGAGAAGAAACUAAGCUGUUCUGGGAAAACACAGCCCAAGAACUUGAAUUGAGGAAGAUUUCAGCGCUGACGAAGUUGAUACUUGGUGCCUCGAUUCCACCGGCCUGGAUCUGUUUUCUCCUUGUGAUUUGGUAACAAAGCUUUUCCUACUCUUGCCGUAGAAGGUGCAGAAAUCACAAAAACCCUCAAAAGGUCAAAAUCGAAAUCCAACUUUGGUCUACAACUAGGCUUGCUUGCCAGCUUGGUAAAGAAAACUUUCAGCAGUUUUUUGAUCUCCCUCUCCUUGUUUUUUUUCCUCAAUUCCCCCCCAGCUCUCAGUUUCCUCCUACAAUCUCUUACUCUCCAAAGCCCUUUCUUUUUUCUCUAGACCCUCGCUGCCUUCCCUUCCUUGUUUUUUCUUACUCAAAGCCUUUCCUUCCUUCUUUUCAGCUUUUCCUACUUUUUUUCCCCUACUCGAAGCUCCUGGUUUCUCCCUCACUUUCAUUUCUAGAUUUUUCACCUUCCACCUCCACCCUUUCUCGAUUUCUUUUUCCAGCCAGCCCGUAGCUUUUGCUUUUUGUUUCUCCUUGCUUUCUUUCUCUCUCAGCCUUGCUCAGUUUUUCUCUCCUAAACCUCUGCCCGAGAACCCUUUUUCCCUCGAUUUUCCUUUUUUCUUCUCCCCAAAACCCUUGUUUCUUCUUUGUUUUUCCCCAGCCGAGGGCACUUUUUCUUCUCCCGUAACCUCUCUUCAACCCUAGCUGCCAAAGCCUUCCUUUUUAUUUCCCUUUUGUUUUUUCUUUUCCUUCCAAUUUUCUAAGCUUC